rnacentral:rRNA from 1 species
GACGAACGCUGGCGGCGUGCUUAACACAUGCAAGUCGAACGGAAAGGCCCUGCUUUUGUGGGGUGCUCGAGUGGCGAACGGGUGAGUAACACGUGAGUAACCUGCCCUUGACUUUGGGAUAACUUCGGGAAACUGGGGCUAAUACCGGAUAGGAGCUCCUGCUGCAGGGUGGGGGUGGGAAAGUUUCGGCGGUUGGGGAUGGACUCGCGGCUUAUCAGCUUGUUGGUGGGGUAGUGGCUUACCAAGGCUUUGACGGGUAGCCGGCCUGAGAGGGUGACCGGCCACAUUGGGACUGAGAUACGGCCCAGACUCCUACGGGAGGCAGCAGUGGGGAAUAUUGCACAAUGGGCGGAAGCCUGGUGCAGCAACGCCGCGUGCGGGAUGACGGCCUUCGGGUUGUAAACCGCUUUCGCCUGUGACGAAGCGUGAGUGACGGCAAUGGGUAAAGAAGCACCGGCUAACUACGUG